CAACUUUCAACAACGGAUCUCUUGGUUCUGGCAUCGAUGAAGAACGCAGCGAAAUGCGAUAAGUAGUGUGAAUUGCAGAAUUCAGUGAAUCAUCGAAUCUUUGAACGCACAUUGCGCCCCUUGGUAUUCCAUGGGGCAUGCCUGUUCGAGCGUCAUUUGUA
rnacentral:rRNA from 2 species